AUUCCAUGAUGAGGGCACUUUCGUAAUAAUUCUUUGUACCUUUCCCAUGCCUUAUACAAGGACUCAUAAUCCAUUUGUUGGAAAGUAGUGAUCUCGUUCCUCAACUU
rnacentral:snoRNA from 1 species